ensembl:misc_RNA Metazoa_SRP Metazoan signal recognition particle RNA
GCCGGGCGUGGUGGCUCACGCCUGUAAUCCCAGCACUUUGGGAGGCUGAGGUGGGCGGAUCACCUGAGGUCAGGAGUUCCAGACCAGCCUGGCCAACAUGGUGAAAUCCCAUCUCUA